rnacentral:tRNA from 2 species
UCCUCGGUAGCUCAGUGGUAGAGCAAACGGCUGUUAACCGUUCGGUCGCUGGUUCGAAUCCGGCUCGGGGAGCCA